rnacentral:lncRNA from 1 species
UGCAUUUGUUUUAUUAAAGCAUAAUUUUGAUUUUGCUUAAAACUGAAUCAUAAUUUCAAUUACAUUUAAAAUUUUAAGAGUCAAAGGUUAGAUAAUGGAGGAAAUUAAAAGAGAAGUAUUUACACCAAUUUACAGACUAUAUUAUUUUCUAGUAUGGAUUAUAUUUGGAUUCCAAUUGUAAAAUGGUUUUAAGAAUCAAUUAUUUUAGCAAUGUUAUUCAAACUAUGCAUAGAUAGGGGAAAAAAUAAGGAAAAAUACAAUAUUUUUAAUGUAAUUUGGGCGAUCGAUGUGAGCCUUCCAGGCUCAGAGUGCACCAAUGCUCUGGUUGUGCUUUAGAACAAUGUUGAU